AUUGAACGCUGGCGGCAGGCCUAACACAUGCAAGUCGAGCGACCGGCGCACGGGUGAGUAACACGUAUCCAACCUGCCCUUUACUCGGGGAUAGCCUUUCGAAAGAAAGAUUAAUACCCGAUAUCAAGGAUGGGGAUGCGUUCCAUUAGGUUGUGGGUGAGGUAACGGCUCACCCAGCCGUCGAUGGAUAGGGGUUCGGAGAGGAAGGUCCCCCACAUUGGAACUGAGGCCCGGUCCAAACUCCUACGGGAGGCAGCAGUGAGGAAUAUUGGGCAAUGGGCGCUAGCCUGAACCAGCCAAGUAGCGGGAAGGAUGAAGGCUUAUGGGUCGUAAACUUCUUUUAUAGAAGAAUAUGUAUUAUAUGAAUAAGGAUCGGCUAACUCCGUGCCAGCAGCCGCGGUAAUUC
rnacentral:rRNA from 1 species